AAACUCUCCUUGUACUUUGCUCUGUGUGUGUUUGGUGGAAAUAUUAUUUUUAAACAGCCAUUUACUCUGAAAAAAUAUGAUUUUGCAUUAAAUUAGUUUUAAAGUUAAGGGAUAUAUAUAAGACCUUUUUAUUAACAAGUUGAUGAGAUGAGCAUUAGUAUACCUAUAGGAAGUUUUUGAAUGAGUGCCAAUUCUGAAUUUACAAAUCAACAUUUCUUCUCUCCAGCUUUCUUUAGCUUGCCCAUGGUGAUGUGAAGAUGAGAAGAAAUAGCAAGGCCCAACCAGUUCUUCAUCUGGAGACAGUUCAACGUUCUGCAAACCAGAUCUUCAGGAAUUUUACUGGGAUAAUUAUCCAAAUAAAUUGCAAGCAUUCUAUCCAAAUGGAGCUCUUUCUGAGAUGAAGAGAAUUCUCAAUGUCAAGAUUUGAACAAGAAGAGAAUGGAAUACACAAUAUGGACAUCCAUAAAAAUUCAUCAGAGAGCAUUUUACUACUGAGCUGCAAAGAUGACAAGAGCACCUCAAAGGCAGCAGCCUCAAGGAGCAGCCAUGGCCCCAGACUUGUCGCACGGAUGCAGAAAACUUAAUGGAGGAGGCUGAGGUCAGAAUGGGAAGAGUUUUUAAAAAAUAAAAAGGGGAGCUAAUAUGUGAGGAACUGAUUGCUGUGCAUUAUUUUCCACUGAACAGACCUUCUUUUAACUUCUAAUCUCAAGCACAUAGCAGCUGUUGUUUUCAUAUUAAAGAUCAGUAAGUGUUUGUUGAAUGAAUGUAUAAAUUCUUCCCCAAUCUCUGUUCCAUGUAAUAAGAACUAAGUUAGCAUUCAAUUAUAAAGAGGACUUAGAAAGUCUGCAGACAUUUUUGAUCAAAAAUCCUUUUAACUGUCUUCUUAUGGUUCCCGGUAACACCUAAGCCCAAAAAACUCAGGUCAUUUCUUGCCUGUACUGUUGCAAUAGCCUCAUAAUAACUAGUCUUCUCCUUUAUCAACCACAGUCGUCUCCGCUACACAAAGAAGAGAGGGUGCUAAUCUAAAGUGUAAAUUAUUUUAAAUCAGCACCCUUCUUGUAAUUUCCCAGUGGUUUUUCCUGUCAUAAGAAUAACAUGCAAAAUUCCUUGCUUGCAAAGCCAGGUAUGACCUUGCCCCGUCUACCUUACUGGCAUCGUCUCUCAUGACUCUUCCCCUUUUUCACUCUCCAUCUUGCCUUUUCCCAACCAUGCCUGCUAGUGAGCCUUAGCCCUUGUGUUUUCUCUGCCAGGGAUGCAUGACUGGCUUCUUUACUUUAUUCUGAUCUCUCUGCUCAAAUGUCAUCUUUUUAGAGAUAGCUUUCCUAAACAUCUUUAAAAGUACCCCAUGAACUGUGAAACACCUUUCCUGCUUUUUCUUCAUAGUACUUAUCACUUCCUGAUAUUAUGUUAGACAACAAGCAAAUAAGUAUAUGCUGUUCCCACUAAAAUAUAAGCUCCAUUUGAACAGGAGCCUUGAUUAUUCCUGAGUAUACCCCUAGUGCCCAGAACCUAGUAGGGCUUUAAUAAAUAUUAGAUUCAUUUGUUGAAUGAAAAAAUGAAUGAAUAAUUGAAUAAAGAUAUCCAGGUAGAGUGUCCGGGCAGCCCAACCUAUGUGAAGCCAGUACAAGAAUGUUUCUGUGACAUAGUGAGCGCAAUUAUUCCUCUAAAUGAUGAACUUGCAUGAGUACACAAGGAUAAAAUUAAGCACGUAGUUUAGAUUUCUGCAAGUCUCUUCCUCAGAUUGAGGAAAAACAAAGAAAUUGAGCUUAUUCUCACCUCAUUCUUACAUGAACUAAAUCCAGAAUAAAGCAUCAUUUAAAUACCAAGCACAUCCCUACCUCAGCCACUCAUGGAAUACUUUAUCUGUAAAGGGACAGAUAGAUAGUAAAUAUUUUUGGCUUU
rnacentral:lncRNA from 10 species